GAUGAACGCUGGCGGCGUGCCUAAUACAUGCAAGUCGAGCGAACAGACGAGGAGCUUGCUCCUCUGACGUUAGCGGCGGACGGGUGAGUAACACGUGGAUAACCUACCUAUAAGACUGGGAUAACUUCGGGAAACCGGAGCUAAUACCAGAUCAUAUAUUGAACCGCAUGGUUCAAUAGUGAAAGACGGUUUUGCUGUCACUUAUAGAUGGAUCCGCGCCGCAUUAGCUAGUUGGUAAGGUAACGGCUUACCAAGGCAACGAUGCGUAGCCGACCUGAGAGGGUGAUCGGCCACACUGGAACUGAGACACGGUCCAGACUCCUACGGGAGGCAGCAGUAGGGAAUCUUCCGCAAUGGGCGAAAGCCUGACGGAGCAACGCCGCGUGAGUGAUGAAGGUCUUCGGAUCGUAAAACUCUGUUAUUAGGGAAGAACAAAUGUGUAAUUAACUAUGCACGUCUUGACGGUACCUAAUCAGAAAGCCACGGCUAACUACGUG
rnacentral:rRNA from 1 species